UACGUAGGGUGCGAGCGUUAAUCGGAAUUACUGGGCGUAAAGCGUGCGCAGGCGGUUCGCCAAGUCAGGUGUGAAAUCCCCGGGCUUAACCUGGGAAUUGCGCUUGAAACUAGCGGGCUUGAGUAUGGCAGAGGGGGGUAGAAUUCCACGUGUAGCAGUGAAAUGCGUAGAGAUGUGGAGGAAUACCGAUGGCGAAGGCAGCCCCCUGGGCCAAUACUGACGCUCAUGCACGAAAGCGUGGGGAGCAAACAGG
rnacentral:rRNA from 1 species